UACGAAGGGGGCUAGCGUUGCUCGGAAUUACUGGGCGUAAAGCGCACGUAGGCGGUCUUUUAAGUCGGGGGUGAAAUCCUGGAGCUCAACUCCAGAACUGCCUUCGAUACUGGAAGACUUGAGUCCGGGAGAGUGAGUGGAACUGCGAGUGUAGAGGUGAAAUUCGUAGAUAUUCGCAAGAACACCAGUGGCGAAGGCGGCUCACUGGCCCGGUACUGACGCUGAGGUGCGAAAGCGUGGGGAGCAAACAGGG
rnacentral:rRNA from 1 species